rnacentral:rRNA from 1 species
AGAGAUGCAUUGGGUUUAAAGUGUGCGCAGGCGGUUUUGUAAGACAGAGGUGAAAUCCCCGGGCUCAGCCUGGGAACUGCCUUUGUGACUGCAAGGCUGGAGUGCGGCAGAGGGGGAUGGAAUUCCGCGUGUAGCAGUGAAAUGCGUAGAUAUGCGGAGGAACACCGAUGGCGAAGGCAAUCCCCUGGGCCUGCACUGACGCUCAUGCACGAAAGCGUGGGGAGCAAACA